rnacentral:lncRNA from 1 species
UUGCAGUAACAUACUCUUGCCAAAACUUAACCAAUUGAUUUUCACUCAAAGUUUGAUUUGAGUUCUGUCUCAAUGAUUGACAGCUUCAUUUACACAUCUAAGGCCCUAAAUUUUCAUCCCUAGGCAUUUAAAACCUAGAAAAGAGAAAUGCUAGAUAUCCUAAUCAUUCACAAAUUGGUUGUACAAUAUCUGUAUACAAAAUAAACCAUUUCUCAUGAUGAAGGAGGGUCUUUUUGAAUUGCAGAAGCAACAAAUCAUGUGUAUACCAUGUUUUGUAUGUGGUUCUGUAUUGCUCUUUACAAACUUUGAUUUAGAAAUUGACUAGUCAUAGAGCAAGUGAGCAUUUAAGCAAGUGCACCGGC